AGGAAACUGAAAAGCUGUGGGACUAACCAUUACAUUCCAAGGACGGGGAAAGCUUGCAGCCUUUGGGUCCAGCAUGUUUCUGAAAUGUAUAAAAAGACCUUCAAUCAGAUAUUUCCACAUGAAGAUAUGGGAAACUGCACCAGCAGAUGUGGAGACAGCUCUUAUCUCAUCCUACCACCAUUGUUGUUUACAGACUCCUGACAAGGAAGUGAAUAUUAGGCAACUUGAUGUAAAACAGCAAGUCAUUCUGUUUAGUUUUGCCAAAUGCUUUUCACUUGGAAAAGGCUGGGAUUAUUAUCAACUUACAGUAGGUAUACAACAUAGCUUGGUUAUACCUUGAAAAGGUUAGAUUAUACUCCAGUCUCCAGUCCAAGUUCAUGGUCAUGGUUCUUGGCUUUAAUGAGAAACGGUACACAAGGUUUUCUCACUGUGGCUUUCACUUUCACUGUAGCUUUAGUUGGGCAAGGCUAAGCAGCAGAACUCUAUAAAUAAUGAACAUUUUGUUUACAUAAAAUGCACAGAUUGCACUCUUCUAGGUGGGCCCAAACCAGUGCACGUUGACCCCCAAACCAGUCCAUAGUGACCCCAUGCUAAACAUGGACCAAUUGAAGAGCUUUUCUUUUUUAUCUUUUAACGUUUAUACAUUAAAGGUCAGAGUCUAUUACAUUUUAUUGAAGGUAAGUUCAGCUCCAUCCAUGAUGUGUGCUUCACACUGCUAAGUGUGCCCAACACAUAUAUAUACCUGGCCAUGCAGUAAAAAAAUCCGCUUGUUUGGCAAGGUCGUCAAACAAGCGGAUCUUUCCCCAAUAUACCCACCUUGAAGUGGGCGAUAUCCAAUGGGAUACAGGCCGUCAAGACAAGGACAGCAUCAGUGUGCCAAUGCGCUCCUCCUGAUUUUCAGCCAGAUAUCAGUCAGAUAUGGCAGCUUUUAUCUGCAUGUGUAUGGCCACCUAUACUUCAAUUUAAAGUCAUUUUAAAAAUGUUUUUUAGGGUGUAGCAACUGGGCUUUGUUUGAAAUGCACCCACAUUAUUGUUGCUCACUUCUUUUUAUGUAGCUGAAAUAAAUCACAAAACAGUUAAUUUUA